rnacentral:rRNA from 1 species
GCUAAUACCGCAUAACAAUUUGAAUCGCAUGAUUCAAAUUUAAAAGAUGGCUUCGGCUAUCACUUUGGGAUGGACCUGCGGCGCAUUAGCUUGUUGGUAGGGUAACGGCCUACCAAGGCUGUGAUGCGUAGCCGAGUUGAGAGACUGAUCGGCCACAAUGGAACUGAGACACGGUCCAUACUCCUACGGGAGGCAGCAGUAGGGAAUCUUCCACAAUGGGCGCAAGCCUGAUGGAGCAACACCGCGUGAGUGAAGAAGGGUUUCGGCUCGUAAAGCUCUGUUGUUAGAGAAGAACGUGCGUGAGAGCAACUGUUCACGCAGUGACGGUAUCUAACCAGAAAGUCACGGCUAACUACGUGCCAGCAGCCGCGGUAAUACGUAGGUGGCAAGCGUUAUCCGGAUUUAUUGGGCGUAAAGCGAGCGCAGGCGGUUUGAUAAGUCUGAUGUGAAAGCCUUUGGCUUAACCAAAGAAGUGCAUCGGAAACUGUCAGACUUGAGUGCAGAAGAGGA